rnacentral:misc_RNA from 1 species
UUAAGUUCAGCGGGUAUCCCUACCUGAUCCGAGGUCAAAAGUGAUAAAAUAGGCUUAAUGGACGCAAGUGUUAUAGGGAGCAAGACGCAAAAUGUGCUGCGCUUAAAACCAAUACACUGGCUGCCAAUUGCUUUAAGGCGAGUCCAAACACAAUGGAGAGGACAAACACCCAACACCAAGCAGAGCUUGAGGGUACAAAU